rnacentral:tRNA from 1 species
AGGUAAAUAGUUCAGUGGCAGAGCGUAUGCUUAGUAUGCAUGAGGUCCUGGGUUCAAUCUCUGGUUCCUCCA